rnacentral:rRNA from 1 species
AUACGGAGGGUCCGAGCGUUAAUCGGAAUUACUGGGCGUAAAGCGCGCGUAGGCGGAUAUUUAAGUCAGAUGUGAAAUCCCUGGGCUCAACCUAGGAACUGCAUUUGAAACUGGAUAUCUUGAGUAUGGUAGAGGUGAGUGGAAUUUCAGGUGUAGCGGUGAAAUGCGUAGAGAUCUGAAGGAACAUCAGUGGCGAAGGCGACUCACUGGGCCAUUACUGACGCUGAGGUGCGAAAGCGUGGGUAGCAAACAGGAUUAGAAACCCUAGUAGUCC